CCUCCCAUGUCUCCCUGUGGUCACCCAGUAGGGAGAGGGAUACACAAGUGUGUAUAUGCCAAAAAGAAGAGACAAUGUUUAUUUUAUGUGGAAAUGGAUAUGGGCUCAAUCUUGGCUAGAUCAUGCUUUGACAGCUUCAUUUGUUCCCCUUUUGGGCACAGCAGAUCCCUCACUCAUCACAGAAAAUGAAAGAAAAAGUGAAGAACAAUUUAAUCCCAUCUACAAGAAGGAGGAGCUUCUCAACCUGGUAUUUUUCAGAUGCUUACCCAAUUAAUGUUCUACUACCGCCACUCCUAACAAAGUUGCCCACCUUAUAUGAGGGGGUUCUAAGAUUUUUUUUUUGUACGUAUUUCAAAGUUGAGACAAUAGAACAGUGUCUCACACUUUAUUCCCCAGUGAUCUUUUCUUUACAUGGUAUAUAUAUUUUUCUGUCCACAUUCAUCAAUUAUCUGGCUUCCUGAACCCUUGAAAGUGUCUAAAAGUAUGAGCUUCUGAUGUCAUGACAUUUAUCAUGCUACACCUUUUUGACAAGACUCAUGGGAGUGAGCAUAAGUGUUUCACAGGCACACUUGUUUACAUGGAAAGGAUGUCUCAAGCUCAGCCUUUCUCAAUAUGCUUUUGAAGGAAAUGAUAUCUCUUUGGUCUGGUAGCAGCCUGCUUUGGAUUAUGCUCCUGAUUCUUGUGUGUUGAGGCUUCCCUUCUGCUUCAGUUGCACUCUGGAGUGAGCUCAAUGCAUUAUUUGUACAGUACUUUUUGGUUGGAUGAAUACUAUGCUUGAUUGAAGAGAGAAUGGUGCUGUCCACAUGCUGUCCUUGGAUACACUAAAAACAGUCUAUGCUUGCAUGCUUCUCAACUCAAUAAUGGAUUGGGUUCUUGACCUA